CGGCGCGCGCACUUCGGGGCUCGGGACCGACGCGCGGCCGCGGCCUCGGGCCUGGGUGCCCCGUGCGGGGUGCGGGAAUCGGGAGGCGCCCCCCGCGCUGCUGUCCUCCGAGCCCCCGAAGGGGUGGCGGCGGGGCCUGCGCCCGAGGACAGUGCAGCGUCUGCAGCCCUUCGUCUCAGGCGUCUUGGACAAUCCGGGAGGGCUCCCUGGAGAAGGUGACGGCUUUGCAAUGAUAGCGCUUUGCUUGCAGCGCUCUCGCGGAUCCCGACACCAGGGAGGGACCGUGCAUCUUGGCGAGGCGCUUCAUCUCCCAGUCGGCCCCGAUGCUCAGCGUAAGCUCCAAAAACUCGGGAAGGGACCUCGGCCUGCCUCCACGUGCGGAACUUCAGACCUGGCCUUCUCGGUGGUUCCUAACCGGGACGGGCAGAGGCGAGGGGAGCAGAGGGUGGGGUUGACAGCAGCCCCGAAAGCAGCACAGGCUCUCAGAUGGCGGCUCUGCCGUGGAAGGGGCUCCCCAGAGACGGGGAGUAGCAUUACGGGCUCGUGCAAGAGGACAUCAGGACUGCGACCCUCUCCGGGAACUGCACCCUGCUUUAGCUGUCCCCCACUGGGUCCCUGGAGUGGACAAUGGCCCAGGAAGUGGGCUCCGCCAGGACCCUGCCCCCUCUGACAAAGGGAGGGCCCUGGUAGAGCCAGUGGCCUCUUCCUAAAAAACGGGAGCCGGCACCUGCGUGCCGGACCCGGCUGCCCCGCCCUGGACGGUGGCGUCCCCCACACCCUCGGAACCUGCUUCCGUCAGGCUGCGGAACAGACUCGACUUCCGCACCCCGGGAUAGCCGAGCCUCAGCUCAGCUCUGGGAACCGGGUCCGAGAGUCAUCCCUCCAGACUCCACCCUGCAGACCCUCCAGAACCCGCCUCCGCCCACGGCGAACUCCCCCGAAGUCCAGCCCAUCACGGACGCCGGACUCCGGUUUAGUCGACGGGAGCUUCGAAACCGUGAGCGUCGCCGUGCAGUGGUGUGCGGACAGCUUCCUGUCCUCACGCUUCUGCCCAGCUCGGGUUCCAGGCUCACUCCUCCCUUGCCCGCGCCGAGGACCACAAGGAUAGUCCGACUUUUCCCACGCCCGCCGCGGGCGUGGUGCAGAAUCCAUCUUUGCCUGCGGUCCGAGGGGCCCUGCUGCCUUCCUGAGACUGCCUGGCCUCCUCAAUCCUGUGCAAACUGUUGGACUGGCGCUAGGAUCUCUCCACAAAAGGGGCCUGUCCCGCUGUCCCACCUGGUGAGUGCAGUCAGCCCGAGCCCUGGGUAAUCCCUCCUGCUCUGACAGCAUGGGGUGCACCAGGAACCCAGCCUCUCCACUCAAAAUAGCCCGGCCCCUCCCAAGCCAUCUGCACGAUAGAGCUAAGGCGUAAUCUC